UAUAGGUUUACAAAUUCGUAAACAAAUCAAAUUUCUGUAUGUCAAGACUUUUUAAGAGCAGAUACUGGCUGGAAUACCAAGUUUUGCUUGUUAAAUUGGAAAAACCAAAUGUGAAUUAUAUUUAGUAUAUAUUGGGAAACCAGGAUUGCGCGUUUAGUUGUUAAAGAAACUCAAUGAACGAUUUUUUAUAGAUGACAAUUAUCACCGAGCCUAAGUAUCCGGAAAGGGCUGAUGAACACACAAGGUUACGUUCAUUCAGAAGAUGACCCGCACAGAUUAAACAAAAUCCGAAGGACUUGGUAGUCGCUGGAUUUUUCUACAUGAGUACGUCGCGGACGAUCGAAGAUAAAAUAUUCUAUUAUAGUAUCAUAUUUAAGGCGUUGCUAAGUUUGCUUUACUAACACAAUGUUGCUGAAUAAUGUUGUGGAAUAUAUUACAAUUAAAUUAAUAAGGUCAAAUAUUAAAAGCGGAUACAUGAUGGUUGUGGAUAAGUUUCAUCUAUGUGAAUAAUGAUUAAGGUUACACAAUUGAUAUAUGCAUAAUCAACACGUUACAGAUAAUGGUUAUCAUUGCAAAUGCUACUGGAGCACAGUAGAAUUCUACAACUAGGACACAUAGGAUAUUCCCUGGGUGGAGCACGCAAAGUUGUGGCUAUGAGUCUCCUAGCCAUAAGGAAUUCCUGAGCCGUCCACAUGUUCUCGCUGCACUGAACGAAUUUGGAUAUAAGCAAGAGCAGGUCUUUUAGGCGUUACACACAUAUGGUUUCCUGGACCUAACGACCGAGCAAGAUAUCAGAAAAUAUGUGGAGGAGAUACAACAUAAGAGGCUGGCGCUGCUCAAGAGCAGGCGAGACUAACCGAACGCUCUUCGACUACUCAAUCUAAUCAACCGAGUCACGUUUUCAACCGGUCAGGCGGUUCAGUUGCUUUGACAGCCCGUGGUCAAAUAGUCGCCCAACCCAAUGAUGAGAUGCGGGCUUCCAGUGGUCAGUUGUGUAGCGAGGAUCUGACAGUCGAAGGCGUUGAGAAA